rnacentral:rRNA from 1 species
GACGAACGUUGGCGGCGUGCUUAAUACAUGCAAGUCAACUGAAGCAGUGGUUGCAAUAUCGCUGUGGAGGUUGCGUAAGGGUGAGUAACACGUAGGUAAUCUGCCUUCAGGUCUGGCAUAACUCAGGGAAACCGGGGCUCAUAGCAGAUGAUGCAGCGGCACGACAUCGAGACAGUUGUUAAAGCUAUGGCGCCUGAAGAUGAGCCUGCGUCUGAUUAGCUAGUUGGCGGGGUCACGGCCCAACAAGGCAACGAUCAGUAGCUGGUCUGAGAGGAUGAUCAGCCACAGUGGAACGGAGACACGGCCCAGACUCCUACGGGAGGCAGCCGUAAGGAGGAUGGCGCAAUGGGGGAAAUCCGGAAGCAGCAACGCCGCGUGAGGGACGAAGGGCUGUUGCUUGUAAACCUCUUUAGGGAGAGAAAAAAAUCCCAAUCUGUGGGACAUGAUGGUAUCUCAAAAGUAAGCCCCGGCUAACUACGUG